rnacentral:rRNA from 1 species
UUGACCUCGGAUCAGGUAGGGAUACCCGCUGAACUUAAGCAUAUCAAUAAGCGGAGGAAAAGAAACCAACAGGGAUUGCCUUAGUAACGGCGAGUGAAGCGGCAACAGCUCAAAUUUGAAAGCUGGCUCCUUUGGAGUCCGCGUUGU